UUGGACAAAGUACAGCAGGCCCAAGAAGACGAGUUUGUUAUUCAUGAUCUAGCUCCGAACGUGCAGCGGUCCAUUGGUCAGGUUGUAGUCGUCAUCGUUUUGGAGCAGACGGAAAUGACCUGAAAUGGUAGGAGUCGUAUGACAUUCAUGGUUAAUGACGCUGGCAUUUUCGUUGAGCCAUCAUACAGUCUAGUAUAGGUAGUAGGACGCUCAAGUCCAACUGGAUUUGACCCAACACCGGCCGGUCGGCAGGAAUAUCGCUAACAUUAGCCAUGUAUAAUAUCAUAACCACGCGUGCCCAGCAGUGUGUGAAACAUUGACGUCAUGGAAAAACUUUCCGCCCGAGCAUACCACAGGAAGGGAAAAAAGGGGAAGAAACACGGCGGUUGGCCUUAGCGACUUACUGACUCAUCGGGCAUGCCCAGAUAGACUGUCUGCAUCAUGAACUCCCGGAUGAAAGACAUGGCGAGGCUGGCGAGGCUGGCGAGGCUGGCGGGCGGCACGACUCUGCCGAGUGAGGACACAGAAGAGAGUCAAUCUUUUGGGGGGGAACAUAUAGGAAACAACCGUCUGUAAGAUCAUUUGUAAAAAAAAAAAAAAAAAAAAAAAAAAAUGUGAAAACUGCAUUGAAAGGCAAUAUUUCCAAAACAAUCCCAAUUUGAAAAGUGCCUUCCCCACAUAUGUGAGCGUAAGCUUUGGCUCAUGUCCAGUCGGCGGAUGUCGAUUAUAGGAGGAUAGUUUUCCACGAUGGCAACGUUGUGGAGGCCGCCUGGCCACACCCACGCUCACCACCGACACGGACGGCAGUUGCGGCCUCUUCGGAUCGAUCGCCUUUUUCAUGCAUUAUACGCACACGAGCUUAUGAAUGCGUAACAGCACAAAAGUGGCGCCUUUCCGGCCACACCCGCACCGAUGGCGCAGAGGGAGAAGGGAACGUUCAUGCAUUUGCGGCGAGCAGAAAGCGUUCGUGCGUUUUCAAUGUCCGAGAGAGAAGCGGGACAGCAUUCUUGAGAUUGGUGAUGUCAGCGACGGGUCUUACCGUGUGGCUGUGAAGGAGAGAGACGUUGAGGUGGGAGUGAGCUUUGCAGGGGGCGCUCGACGAGCAGAGGGAUUGGAUUUAUACCCGUGGCAAACUCCACCUCGAGGCGAGCCCGGCCCAUCGCUCCCCUCCCUCCUCGCCCGCCUGCAAUCCUGAGCUGCAGCCAACGUGGAACAGAAGCAAACAGAACGACGUCAUCUUGAUGGGAGAGAAACACUCGUCUGUUGUACAUUUACUCUUUGUAUUCAGCUCAGUAGCUUGAGUUCCUGUACAUGCGCACCAUCAGUUGUGGCAGCAACACACAUUUGCCUUCAAAAUGUACGU